UGAACGCUGGCGGCAGGCCUAACACAUGCAAGUCGAACGGUAACAGGAAGCAGCUUGCUGCUUUGCUGACGAGUGGCGGACGGGUGAGUAAUGUCUGGGAAACUGCCUGAUGGAGGGGGAUAACUACUGGAAACGGUGGCUAAUACCGCAUAACGUCGCAAGACCAAAGAGGGGGACCUUCGGGCCUCUUGCCAUCAGAUGUGCCCAGAUGGGAUUAGCUUGUUGGUGAGGUAACGGCUCACCAAGGCGACGAUCCCUAGCUGGUCUGAGAGGAUGACCAGCCACACUGGAACUGAGACACGGUCCAGACUCCUACGGGAGGCAGCAGUGGGGAAUAUUGCACAAUGGGCGCAAGCCUGAUGCAGCCAUGCCGCGUGUAUGAAGAAGGCCUUCGGGUUGUAAAGUACUUUCAGCGGGGAGGAAGGUGUUGUGGUUAAUAACCGCAGCAAUUGACGUUACCCGCAGAAGAAGCACCGGCUAACUCCGUGCCAGCAGCCGCGGUAAUACGGAGGGUGCAAGCGUUAAUCGGAAUUACUGGGCGUAAAGCGCACGCAGGCGGUCUGUCAAGUCGGAUGUGAAAUCCCCGGGCUCAACCUGGGAACUGCAUUCGAAACUGGCAGGCUUGAGUCUUGUAGAGGGGGGUAGAAUUCCAGGUGUAGCGGUGAAAUGCGUAGAGAUCUGGAGGAAUACCGGUGGCGAAGGCGGCCCCCUGGACAAAGACUGACGCUCAGGUGCGAAAGCGUGGGGAGCAAACAGGAUUAGAUACCCUGGUAGUCCACGCCGUAAACGAUGUCUACUUGGAGGUUGUGCCCUUGAGGCGUGGCUUCCGGAGCUAACGCGUUAAGUAGACCGCCUGGGGAGUACGGCCGCAAGGUUAAAACUCAAAUGAAUUGACGGGGGCCCGCACAAGCGGUGGAGCAUGUGGUUUAAUUCGAUGCAACGCGAAGAACCUUACCUGGUCUUGACAUCCACGGAAGUUUUCAGAGAUGAGAAUGUGCCUUCGGGAACCGUGAGACAGGUGCUGCAUGGCUGUCGUCAGCUCGUGUUGUGAAAUGUUGGGUUAAGUCCCGCAACGAGCGCAACCCUUAUCCUUUGUUGCCAGCGGUCCGGCCGGGAACUCAAAGGAGACUGCCAGUGAUAAACUGGAGGAAGGUGGGGAUGACGUCAAGUCAUCAUGGCCCUUACGACCAGGGCUACACACGUGCUACAAUGGCGCAUACAAAGAGAAGCGACCUCGCGAGAGCAAGCGGACCUCAUAAAGUGCGUCGUAGUCCGGAUUGGAGUCUGCAACUCGACUCCAUGAAGUCGGAAUCGCUAGUAAUCGUGGAUCAGAAUGCCACGGUGAAUACGUUCCCGGGCCUUGUACACACCGCCCGUCACACCAUGGGGAGUGGGUUGCAAAAGAAGUAGGUAGCUUAACCUUCGGGGAGGGCGCUUACCACUUUGUGAUUCAUGAUGGG
rnacentral:rRNA from 1 species